rnacentral:rRNA from 1 species
AGCUCCAAUAGCGUAUAUUAAAGUUGUUGCAGUUAAAAAGCUCGUAGUUGGAUUUCUGGUCUGAUGAGCCUAGCCCGCGCCCGAAAGGGCAGCGAGUGCUGGUGCACGUCUGCCAUCCUUCUAGAAAACGUUUGUACCAUUUAUUUGGCAGCGAACGCGAUCUAGAUCUUUUACUUUGAAAAAAUUAGAGUGUUUAAAGCAGGCAUUUUGCUAUGAAUACAUUAGCAUGGAAUAAUAACAUAGGACUUUGGUUCUAUUUUGUUGGUUUCCUGAACUAAAGUAAUGAUUGAUAGGGAUAGUUGGGGGUGCUAGUAUUCAGCGGCCAGAGGUGAAAUUCACGGAUUCGCUGAAGACUAACUUAUGCGAAAGCAUUCACCAAGGAUGUCUUCUUUAAUCAAGA